AUGCUUGAAGAAUUUUGUCAAGACUUUGAAGAAGAGACUAGCCGGCUGGAACCAAACCUUGACCCCGUCAAUUCUCUGGUGAACGACGAAGUUGCUAUGAAUGUUUUCCGACUGGAGUCUCGUGUUGCAGCUGUCGUGGACUAUCUUGCAAGGCUGAAGGUCGCCACAUCUCGCAUCGACUCGACGCUCUGGCCCAGGGAGACACUCCAGCACGACCUCGAGUCGCUGAUGGCUCGCUUGAACACGGUCCCUGGUCGAGUGCAGGAGUGGAAAAAGUCCUCGGCUCGGUGCGGUGCAGAUGUUGCUCUGUGUCUGGCCCGAGUCCACUUCAAAGAUGCGCGAGAAGACAAGAUGGCGGCCCUCCGGGUGGCCAACACCAAGAAACACGACUUCAGGUCCUUUAUGGAAACUUUCAUUGCUGCUGCCACUCGGAUCGCAGAUGGAAUUGAUCUUGAUGAGUUUGUUGCACCUUCCAGCCCUCCACAGGAGGGGUACAAAACUUCUUUUAAGCUCGACGCUUUAAAUUUGCCUCGGUAUGCCGAGUGGGAUUGUAACCGAUAA
rnacentral:rRNA from 1 species